rnacentral:rRNA from 1 species
UACGUAGGCAGCAAGCGUUGUUCGGAGUUACUGGGCGUAAAGAGUCUGUAGGCGGUGCUCUAAGUUUGGUGUGAAAUCUCCCGGCUUAACCGGGAGGGUGCGCCGAAGACUGGGGUGCUGGAGUCUGGGAGAGGAAAGCGGAAUUCCUGGUGUAGCGGUGAAAUGCGUAGAUAUCAGGAGGAACACCGGUGGUGUAGACGGCUUUCUGGACCAGUACUGACGCUGAGGAGCGAAAGCGUGGGGAGCGAACAGG